CCGGACUGUAACUGUGAGUUAAUUAAUCUGCUUUAUGCUAAUUUAAAUGCCAUAAUAUGCUUCAUUGAAAUUUUAUUUGCUCACUGAGGCUCUAAUAGCAAAUUUUUGCUUUAUGCUAAUUCAAAUGCCAUACUAUGCUUCAAUUAAAUUUUAUUUGCUCACUGAGGCUCUAAUAGCAAAUUUUUAAGUAAAAUAAACUGAUGUUUUAGUUUGUAAAGGAAUUGAAAAAACUAUAGUCUUGCCUCCCCACCUUUUCUUUUAGAUCCAAAAGGAACCCUUGAUAUACCUGUAGGCAUCAACUCCAUGAAACUCUUCUUCUUAGUGAUGGCGA
rnacentral:lncRNA from 1 species